rnacentral:rRNA from 1 species
GUGGAUUAGAUACCCUGGUAGUCCUAGCCGUAAACGAUGGGCACUAGGUGUGGGAGGUAUCGACCCCUUCCGUGCCGCAGCUAACGCAUUAAGUGCCCCGCCUGGGGAGUACGGCCGCAAGGUUGAAACUCAAAGGAAUUGACGGGGGCCCGCACAAGCGGUGGAGCAUGUGGUUUAAUUCGACGCAACGCGAAGAACCUUACCAGGGCUUGACAUCCCGCGAAUCCUGCCGAAAGGCAGGAGUGCCCGCAAGGGAGCGCGGAGACAGGUGGUGCACGGUCGUCGACAGCU